CAGUGCCCGGGACAUGGUAAGAGCUCUUAUUAAUGUUGGGUGGUUAUUAUUAAUGAUUAUAAUUUUCCACGAAGGAGUGAAGCAUGAGUAAUGGACUCAGUAAUGAAGCCUCAGCUGUCAGAGGGGAGGGGACCCUCCAUGGAUUCUUUCUCUCCUUUGUCUCCUAGGCCAAGUCCUCCUGUUGUCACCUAUCCAUGGACUCUUGUGCGUCUGCAUAGGUGGGUCAUGAGAAAAGACCGAAAGUUACCAAAACUGUAGGACGGGGCACCCCCGUAAGAGAAGGUAACACACAGGGAGAAAGAACUUCUCCCCUGCUGUCAGCAGAACCUGUGGCAGCUCUGGUGCCCUGGAGCUGUCACCCACGAUGGGCAGUUGUGGUCAGGGGCACAGGUGGUGGAACCUGGUGGGCACUGGCCAGACAGCUAAUGGGAUGACUGUUGGCAUUGGGACGUCAUCCUGACCUUCCAGAAAUACCUGGAGACACUUCAGGGGGCUCAAGUCCUGUCUGAGCUGGGGAUGGGGGAAGCCAGGUGCCUUCAGUUUGCCAUCGUUAAUAGGACCACACCUGAACUGACAGCACCUGCUGAGGGACACUGACAGUUUCCACAGGGGAGGAGGAGACCUAGGCCCGGAGCCAUUGAAGGGGACCACUAAAGGCUGCACAGUGGUCGGUGGGGGACCCAGCUCCCUGACUCCCGACGUCAUGCUCUUUCUCUUGCAUCAGGCUGCUCUGGGUGUCUCUGGCAGGACCUGGCCCUGCCUUCUAGGUCAUCACGUACAGUCUCAGGCCUCCUCCCACCUGCCUGCAGUGUAGGCAGAUGCCUUUUGCUUCCUUUUUGUGGUCUGCGUACAUAGACAGACCCUAUCUGCUUGGCGUUGGCCCAUAGGAGUGUUGGAUUUCAGUCUAUGAAUGCAGCCACGGAGGCCCGUGGAAAGGGCCAGAGGUAGUGUGCAAAGGGUCCCAGCCUCAGUAAGAAGGAGCUUCAAGGAUGAACAAAAUGCAGUCCCUUAUCCCAAGGGUCUCCCGUGACAUACCUGCAGGUCUAUGACAAAGUGCCCAGAGGAAACGCUACAGCUGUGCCCAGAGCACUGUGGAGCACAGAGGAGGAGCACCUGCCCAGCUGGGGGUGAGGGGAGCAGAGGGGGCAUUUCAAUAAAGAAUAAUUUUAUGGAGUGACAAGGUGAGAGUGCCUUGAGCAAUGGAAGUUCUGACCAGAGCCUGGAAAACAGAGUUCAGGAUUUCCAAGGCAAGUUACCUAAUCUCUUUACACCUGAGCUGCUUGAUCUGGAAAACGGGGACCACAGCGCCUACUGACAAGAGCACCUCCUCUGGGCUGCAAGAGCAUGAAAUGAGCUAGUCCUUCCUACACGUGCUUAGGACAGUGCCUGCCACACGGAAGUGGAGCGUGCAAUGGAAAGUAAAACCUGCAAGUGCGGCUACAUCUCCUUGGCUAAUCAGCGAGUUUCCACUGCCUGAACUUUCCUCCCAUGCGGUCCCAGGAAGUGUGGGGGGUGUGCGUGAGUGAGAGAGAGAAUUCCAUUACAAAAACAGCAAUGAGCAGGCUGCCACCGUGAGGGAACCUAUCUUUGGCCACUUCCAGCCCCCAGAGCCCCCAUCUGUGGCUUCUGAGACAGAAGA